rnacentral:lncRNA from 1 species
AAAUGAGUGCAUUUGAUAUCUUCAACAGUUUAAAAGUCUUUCUUCUCUACAUGGUCUUCAAAUAGAAAUCAAGAAGCAAGUGUUCCUGCCCUUUCUGGGCAUCAGAAAUGGAUCCUUGGAAUUUGGACUCUAUUUUGAAAGACACUUUAAAAUCUCUAAGCAGAUGGGUCUCAACUACUUGCUGCUAAUACAGACGGGAACUCAAGGUAAGCAGUAGCAAUGUUGGAAAUAGUAUGGAUGGAUGUCAAUACUUAAGUGAUCUUUUUUUUCCUCACAAGGGCAGA